rnacentral:rRNA from 1 species
GAGUAAGGUGGUGACUGCCCGGAGGGGGAUACAGGCGAAGUUUGUUAUACGGAUUGAGCAAGGGAAGAUUAGAAGUCUCUUUGUAAGGAGUAAUCGUUUCUGGGAGGGGCUGGACCCAUCAGUAGUUGGUAAGGUAACGGCUACCAAGGGGAUGAGGGUAGGGGACCUGAAGAGGGUGGCCCCCACAAUGGAACUGAAACACGGUCCAUACACCUACGGGUGGCAGCAGUAGGGAAUAUUGCUAAAUGGGCGAAAGCCUGAAGCAGCAACGCCGCGUGUGCGAUGAAGGCCUUCGGGUUGUAAAGCACUUUUGACUGGGAAGAGGAAGGACGGUACCGGUCGAAUAAGCCUCGGCUAACUACGUGCCAGCAGCCGCGGUAAAACGUAGGAGGCGAGCGUUAUCCGGAUUUACUGGGUGUAAAGCGCGUGCAGGCGGUUGGCUAAGUUGGGUGUGAAAGCUCCUGGCUCAACUGGGAGAGGUCGCUCAAGACUGGUCGACUGGAGAGCAGUAAGGGAAGGUGGAAUUCCGGGUGUAGUGGUGAAAUGCGUAGAUAUCCGGAGGAACACCAGUGGCGAAAGCGGCCUCCUGGCCCAAAACUGACACUCAGACGCGAAAGCUAGGGGAGCGAACGGGAUUAGAGACCCCGGUAGUCUUAGCUGUAAACGAUGCGGACUUGGCGUCGGUGGGUUAAAAGCCAUCGGUGCCGAAGCUAACGCGAUAAGUCCGCCACCUGGGGACUACGGCCGCAAGGUUAAGACUCAAAGGAAUUGACGGGGGCCCGCACAAGCAGCGGAGCGUGUGGUUUAAUUCGACGCAACGCGAAGAACCUUACCAAGGCUUGACAUAUACCUGAAAGGCAGAGAAGUCUGCCCUUCCUUCGGGACAGGUAUACAGAUGCUGCAUGGCUGUCGUCAGCUCGUGCCGUGAGGUGUUGGGUUAAGUCCCGCAACGAGCGCAACCCCUAUUGCCAGUUGUAUUCUCUGGCGAGACUGCCUCGCACAACGGGGAGGAAGGUGGGGAUGACGUCAAGUCAGCACGGCCCUUAUGCCCUGGGCUACACACACGCUACAAUGGGUGGUACAAAGGGUAGCAAUAGAGUGAUCUGGAGCUAAUCCUAAAAGCCAUCCUCAGUUCAGAUUGCAGGC